GACGAACGCUGGCGGCGUGCUUAACACAUGCAAGUCGAACGGUGAAGCCCUUCGGGGUGGAUCAGUGGCGAACGGGUGAGCAACACGUGUGCAACCUGCCCCUGACUCUGGGAUAACUUCGGGAAACCGGAGCUAAUACUGGAUAUGACGCUCUCACGCAUGUGGGGGUGUGGAAAGUUUUUCGGUUGGGGAUGGGCUCGCGGCCUAUCAGCUUGUUGGUGGGGUGAUGGCCUACCAAGGCGACGACGGGUAGCCGGCCUGAGAGGGCGACCGGCCACACUGGGACUGAGACACGGCCCAGACUCCUACGGGAGGCAGCAGUGGGGAAUAUUGCGCAAUGGGCGAAAGCCUGACGCAGCGACGCCGCGUGAGGGAUGAAGGCCUUCGGGUUGUAAACCUCUUUCAGCGCCGAAGAAGCGAAAGUGACGGUAGGCGCAGAAGAAGCACCGGCUAACUACGUGCCAGCCGCCGCUGUAAUAC
rnacentral:rRNA from 1 species